rnacentral:rRNA from 1 species
AAGUAAAAGUCGUAACAAGGUUUCCGUAGGUGAACCUGCGGAAGGAUCAUUACCUAGAGUUUGUAGGCUUUGCCUGCUAUCUCUUACCCAUGUCUUUUGAGUACCUUCGUUUCCUCGGCGGGUCCGCCCGCCGAUCGGACAACCAUAAACCAUUUGCAGUUGCAAUCAGCGUCUGAAAAAACUUUAAUAGUUACAACUUUCAACAACGGAUCUCUUGGUUCUGGCAUCGAUGAAGAACGCAGCGAAAUGCGAUAAGUAGUGUGAAUUGCAGAAUUCAGUGAAUCAUCGAAUCUUUGAACGCACAUUGCGCCCCUUGGUAUUCCAUGGGGCAUGCCUGUUCGAGCGUCAUUUGUACCUUCAAGCUCUGCUUGGUGUUGGGUGUUUGUCUCGCCUCUGCGCGUAGACUCGCCUCAAAACAAUUGGCAGCCGGCGUAUUGAUUUCGGAGCGCAGUACAUCUCGCGCUUUGCACUCAUAACGACGACGUCCAAAAGUACAUUUUUACACUCUUGACCUCGGAUCAGGUAGGGAUACCCGCUGAACUUAAGCAUAUCAAUAAGGCGGAG